UUUAUAGACAAUCUUGUUUCAAUACACAGAAGCAGAACACUCAUCUUGACUGAGAAAAAGCAUACAAAAUGGUUUCAUUUCUUGAUUUUUUUCUUUCACCAACUCUUGCCACCAAAGUAAGACGAUUGGUUUCGAGGACUGAUAAACCUAACCCUAAGCCUCAGCCAUCCAAGUCUCCAUUAACAAUUGCAGAUAGAGACUUUCCAAGGGGACACAAUUAUUAGGAAUAUAUGCAGCAUAGAGAAUGUCACAAGAUUCAGGAUGUGAUAAUGGCCACUCCUCCCUAGCUUGAUAAUAAGUUUCUGUGUCUUAGGAUGUGAUAUUAUAUAUAUAAGUUUCGUGAUCGUUUCAUUGUAUUACUUUUUGCAAUCUGUUUGAAAAUAGUUAAGGGCACAAGUUAACAUUUCCUAUAAAUAAUUGCCGUGAUGCUAGUUUGUUUCUUUA